UUUAUUUACAAAUCCACCUUGUCAUGAUGACUACUAAUAUGAUAAAUACCUAUUUUAGUCACGAACUAGAGUAGAAUAUGACGCAAUGCAGAAAAGCAAAAUACGAUGUGCUAUGUUUGUUUUGAUGUUGUCAUUGUUUCUUAACUGUACUCAACUAUUAUGACAUUAGAACAGUGUGAAAUUAGCUCAAAACGUACACUAUCGGAUUAUCUUUUUUACCACGGACUACUACUUGACUUAUGGUAGUGAUCCGUGCCGGGAUCCGUACCACAGAAAUUAAUAACUUUGAUGAAUGUGAAAGGUUCUGAUGAACAACGUCAUUUCAACCUAAUCGACCAACUAGGUAGAAAUAUCGAAAGAAGUCGUCAAAUUCUGUAUCGAUGAGUAUGAUGGGAGUAAUAUUGAUUUACGGCA